AUAGCCUUACAUAGCCAACACUACCAAUCGAGGACCUGGCCUCAGUUCACUCCAGACUAUUUGCGUAGCCCUCCGUUUUUUUCAAAUGGUAGUUUUAUCUAGGCUAUAAUGCUGGAGAUGCUGAGCACAUCACAGUCGUUUCAGAUGACCCAUCCAAGAUUUGUAUCGGCCUCCUAUCAUACAAAGAGCAAUAUUGUCUGAGUACUAUGCCGAGAGGCAUUUACAACAUAAAGUAUAAAAUAGUCCUAACGGACUUGCAUCCACUGGAGAAUGUUCGAUCGUAGCCGGCGGCUUCAUUACAAGCACUGAUCCAUCUUGAUCUGUGAAGUUGAUGAAUUGUCACUUUUAGGUUUUCUACCCAGUUACCAAAAAAGAAACAUUUGGAAUAGUAUGCGCUGUGGCAAGCACACGGUUUGCAUGUGUUACUUCGAAGGCAAAAAAAAUCUAAAAUACAAGAAAACACAAUAACCUACAUUCAACCAGUGUGGGGUAUGGCCCAUGACUCUCUGAGGUGGUAGGUACCUCCAGGUACCCCCUCCAUGCCAGGGCGCCCUGGAUUUAUGUUUAUUAACAGCUCCUCCACCGGGAUCAAGACAAUUUGAGGGCCAGAUCCAGUCUGCCGACUGUCGGCCUUUUCACGAUUGGCUUAAAAAAAUGGCUUAUUUAAAUGUAUACCAAUACGAUGGUGGGAAAAGCUUACCAGUUUGUAUGUUUUUUAUACUUCAUUUUUAUACUUGAUCCUCUGACCGCUUGGAAGCAAUCGGAGUACAUAUUGUUUUAGAAGAAAGGGGUUAUGUGGUAGGAUCUUUAAGAAUGCUUUACUGGGAUAUUUAUAUAUUCAUGGCUCAAAUAUUAAGGGUUGGGUACGCGAUUUGCGAAACGCCAGCAGAUUUUGAAAAUACACAACUCAAAUGGUCCUACCCCCUCUCCUUCAACGCUGACUCUGACUCCACCCAUUCCAAGUACCUGGACGCGCAAUCAUGCACGAGCGCGAACAGAGAUGCGCGAGAGCGAGCCAGGCUAGCGUAGGUUUUCGUUUAACAACAUGGCACUACAUUCAGCUGUAAAUUGCACCCAGUACCGCAGGAAGUAGGGGUUUUGGGGGUGCUGCAACACCCCCUGUCCGAGGCCCUGUCUUAUCACAGAAAACGAUCAUUUCUAAAAACUCCGGCCAAAGUGGAGAUUUCUGAAAACGCCGGUUAUGUGUUGUCGUAUCAACGGGGAGAAACGGGAUUUUAGGUUCUGAAGCGUCACAUUAUGCACCAGGAAAUGCUUAACGUCAUGUGAGCGUCCGCUGUACCGUAUUGGUCCGAAUAUAAACACAAACCCCAUUGUAAUACGACCUAUAUUUGGAAAAAAGAUUUGAAGACCAGAUCUUGAUUUCAUGAAUAAAUAAAUUGUAUUAAUUGAAAUAAUAUACGAAAAUAAAAAGGCAUAGAAUAAAACACUGCAUUGCCACUAAACAGUAGUGCAAAUAGGCCGUACUGAUGUGUACACCAAAGACUUCCUGACACUCCUCUGCCCCGCUGUGUUCGCUCUGGCUGUGGUCGCUCCGAACUGUUUCGGCCCGUGGCAAAGCGAGUCAUCCUCGCUGCUGUCCAAGGCACGUUGAGACGCAGCAUUUAUUUAAUGCUCAUAUGUCCUAGUGCUGAAAAAAGGUUAUAUGAAAAAGUGUGAGGGUAGCGGUGGUGCGCUAAACUUGUUCUGUGAGCAGCUGGAUGUGAACCAUGGUGUGAAGGAAGUGAACACAACGAUCGAUUUUCAACUGUGCGCGCAUGCACUGGUGUAAUUGAGCUGCGCUGCUAUAUAUCUUUUUUAUCAAUGUGACGAGUUGCGAGUCUAGUGCAGGCCGGGUUUUUUUUCCCAGCACCCCAUGCUGAGAAUACGUUCUCGCGGCUAUGGUUGCACCAGAUGUUAUAAACAUUAAACGGUCACAUAAAUCAUUACUAUUUUUAGAAAAUGUAUGUUUGUUU